rnacentral:rRNA from 1 species
GACGAACGCUGGCGGCGUGCUUAACACAUGCAAGUCGAACGGAAAGGCCCUGCUUUUGUGGGGUGCUCGAGUGGCGAACGGGUGAGUAACACGUGAGUAACCUGCCCUUGACUUUGGGAUAACUUCAGGAAACUGGGGCUAAUACCGGAUAGGAGCUCCUGCUGCAUGGUGGGGGUUGGAAAGUUUCGGCGGUUGGGGAUGGACUCGCGGCUUAUCAGCUUGUUGGUGGGGUAGUGGCUUACCAAGGCUUUGACGGGUAGCCGGCCUGAGAGGGUGACCGGCCACAUUGGGCCUGAGGUACGGCCCAGACUCCUACGGGAGGCAGCAGUGGAGAAUAUUGCACAAUGGGCGGAAGCCUGAUGCAGCAACGCCGCGUGCGGGAUGACGGCCUUCGGGUUGUAAACCGCUUUCGCCUGUGACGAAGCGUGAGUGACGGUAAUGGGUAAAGAAGCACCGGCUAACUACGUG